CACAACAAUUCUUUGGUUGAUAAGACCGAAAUCACCGGGAUCCGAGAUCCCUGAACCGAACCAACGAAAACAAACGGUUUUUCACCUUUGGGUUGGAAGAUUACCAUCUUCCUCUUAUCAUUUUCUCACAGUUAUUUCGCACCAUCUCUGGCCCUCUAAGAUCGAUUUUGCACCCAGUCAGAGCUUCAUCGAUUGUUGAUAUGCACUUUGGGAAUAGGUUCAGGGUUUUUGUGCAAGUGGUACUGCUUUUGUUUGUUAUGUUGGUAAACAAUAGUUGAUUUGCUGAGGGUUUUGUGGGUACCCUGUGAUAUUUUUUUGCAGAUCCUCUUUCCUAUGAAUUCUAUGUGGGAUCUGGAUAUACAUAUGCGACCAAUGUGUGUUGGACCUUCAUAUUAAAAGGUCAGAUAUUUAGUUUUUGACAUCUUGGUGUAAGCUCACAUAUUUUCUAUUGCUCCUUCUCCACUCUACGAUCAUCUCCACAAUCCUGGCCCUUUAUAAUCUUCCAUACCAAGGUUUUGAUUCCAAUAUUACUGUUAUAGAAAAUCUAAAUUUGUGUUUUGUAUGUAAUUUGGAUUAGGAUUUAAGAGAGGAAUCUUAAUUUUUAAUGACUUUUUAGGGCAGAAAUGGGUGCGAUUUCAAGGCAGGUUUUUCCUCUCUGUGAAAAUCUCAAUUUUUGGUGUCCUUAAUUACACGCCAAAUCUAAGCAUCAUGUUAAAUUCUAUAAGAAGUUAAUCUUUGGUAUAUUCCCUCUCUCUCAGGAUGAAGAACCCAAUGACCGUAAGAUUGGGAAGCUGUGUGAAUAUGCUUUAAAAAAACCUCUUCGUAUUCUAAAAGGUACAUGAAAAAGCAAUUUAAUAAAUUGUUGUAUGUAGGUUAUAUGGAUUAUUGAUGGAUUUUAAUUUAUUUGAUUAAAUUAUUUGAACCUUUAGAUCACAACAUCUUUUGAGCAAAUGUGUACAGGGAUUUGAGAAAUGAGGAAUUUCAUUCAGAAAAGGUAGUCAUGUGUAUUUACAGAGAGUUAUUGUAAUGUUUAGUUAUCAAUUCAACCAUAAUAAAUUACCUCUGCUAACUUAUUUUUCGAGAAAAAAGAAAAAAAGAAAAAAAAAUAUUAAUAGCUCUCUAGCUGUAUAGAGCUGCAGCAAGAAGAAUCUUAGAAUAAACCAAUCAUAACGAUUUUUCCUCUUUAGAGUUUUUUUCUCGGCAAAGGGCCUCUCCACCUAUUUGGUAUACUCUCCUGAUUCCUGAAUGUGGAUAUAUUGAUAUGAGUAUUAUUAUUGGUUAUGUUUUUGGACUGCGUGUAUUGAUAUUGCUCUAUUUUAUGAAUUUAUUUGGUUCUGUAUAGAUUGGUGUCAUAUAUCAUCGAAUAUGGAUUGUGCUAGUAUUGUUACUGUUGCAUAUUGUAGUUUAGGUGUUUUAUUAAAUGACUCAAAGAAAAAACUAUAGCUGAUUUUUCAUAAUUGUGUCUUCUUAUAUGCUUCUCAUGUUUAUUUUAUUCUUUUUGUUAAAUUUAAUAUGAAUUUGGGAUUUUAAUAUUGUUGCAGCCAGAGAUAGAGGCACCAACGUAGAUAUAAUGGAUUACUUUUGACAAUGGAAUUUUUAUGUACUAAAUUGUUCUAUAUAUUGUAAGUUCAUGAGAAUUGAAUUUUGGUAAAGGGAUUUUGUGUGUUGUCCAAGUGUGAAUGAAUGAGUGAUUAGGGAAUUGGAAAAUGCCAACUUCUUAUGAUUGUGCUUUUGUUAUAUCAAAAUUGAUUUAGAUAUAUGGUCUUUAUGGUGUGGAUAUAUUGUAACAAUUACUAUGUCAAUAUAAAUAGUAUUAAAUAAUCUUUUAGAAGUUGUGUCAUUGAAAAUCAGUUCUUAGCAUUUGGCAAACAUAACUAAUUAUAAAUUUGACAUCCAUUUGAGAUUUGUAUUUAGUGAAAUUUGAACCCUAUUGGAAUGGAUUUUCUUUUCUUUUAUUCUUCAGUUUAGUGAUAGAGUAAACAUUGAGUAGUUUCAAACCAUCAAGUAUUUUAUUAUUGGAUAUACAUAUAUUAUUGUUGUUAUGUUUUGAGCUGAAUUUAUUUAACUACAACUUUUUAUUUUAUUUUUAUUUUUUCUUUUAAUUUUUU